rnacentral:rRNA from 1 species
ACAACCCUGAACGGUGGAUCACUCGGCUCGUGGGUCGAUGAAGAGCGCAGCAAAUUGCGCGUCGACAUGUGAACUGCAGGACACAUGAACAUCGACAUUCGAACGCACAUUGCGGUCCAUGGAUUUCCAAUCCCGGACCACGCCUGGCUGAGGGUCG